rnacentral:rRNA from 1 species
AACGUUGUAGACCACAGGGAUUGCCCUAGUAACGGCGAGUGAAGCGGCAACAGCUCAAAUUUGAAAUCUGGCCUUCGGGUCCGAGUUGUAAUUUGUAGAGGAUGCUUUUGGCGCGGUGCCUUCCGAGUUCCCUGGAAUGGGACGCCUUAGAGGGUGAGAGCCCCGUAUGGUUGGACACCAAGCCUCUGUAAAGCUCCUUCGACGAGUCGAGUAGUUUGGGAAUGCUGCUCUAAAUGGGAGGUAAAUUUCUUCUAAAGCUAAAUAUUGGCCAGAGACCGAUAGCGCACAAGUAGAGUGAUCGAAAGAUGAAAAGCACUUUGAAAAGAGGGUUAAAUAGCACGUGAAAUUGUUGAAAGGGAAGCGUUUGCGACCAGACCUUUUCGUAGCGGAUCAUCCGGUGUUCUCACCGGUGCACUUCGCUUCGUUUAGGCCAGCAUCGGUUUCUGUAGGGGGAUAAAAGCCUGGGGAACGUAGCUCCCUCGGGAGUGUUAUAGCCCCUCGCAUAAUACCCUUACGGGGACCGAGGACCGCGCUUUAUGCAAGGAUGCUGGCGUAAUGGUCGUCAACGACCCGUCUUGAAACACGGACCAAGGAGUCGAACAUUUAUGCGAGUGUUUGGGUGUUAAACCCUCACGCGUAAUGAAAGUGAACGGAGGUGAGAGCCCUUACGGGUGCAUCAUCGACCGAUCCUGAUGUCUUCGGAUGGAUUUGAGUAAGAGCAUAACUGUUCGGACCCGAAAGAUGGUGAACUAUGCGUGGAUAGGGUGAAGCCAGAGGAAACUCUGGUGGAGGCUCGCAGCGGUUCUGACGUGCAAAUCGAUCGUCAAAUCUGCGCAUGGGGGCGAAAGACUUAUCGAACCAUCUAGUAGCUGGUUACCGCCGAAGUUUCCCUCASGAUAGCAGUGUUGUUCUUCAGUUUUAUGAGGUAAAGCGAAUGAUUAGGGACUCGGGGGCGCUUUUUAGCCUUCAUCCAUUCUCAAACUUUAAAUAUGUAAGAAGCCCUUGUUACUUAAUUGAACGUGGGCAUUCGAAUGUACCAACACUAGUGGGCCCAUUUUUGGUAAGCAGAACUGGCGAUGCGGGAUGAACCGAACGCGGGGUUAAGGUGCCGGAGUGGACGCUCAUCAGACACCACAAAAGGUGUUAGCACAUUUAGACAAUAGGACGGUGGCCCAUGGAAGUCGGAAUCCGCUAAGGACUGUGUAACAACUCACCUAUCGAAUGUGCUAGCCCUGAAAAUGGAUGGCGCUCAAGCGUCCCACCCAUACCUCGCCCUCAGGGUAGAAACGAUGCCCUGAGGAGUAGGCGGCCGUGGGGGUCAGUGACGAAGCCUAGGGCGGA